rnacentral:rRNA from 1 species
UGGGAAUAUUGCACAAUGGGCGGAAGCCUGAUGCAGCGACGCCGCGUGGGGGAUGACGGCCUUCGGGUUGUAAACUCCUUUCGACCGCGAGGAAGCCGCCUGGUUGGAAGGGUGGUGACGGUAGUGGUAGAAGAAGCACCGGCUAACUACGUGCCAGCAGCCGCGGUAAUACGUAGGGUGCGAGCGUUGUCCGGAUUUACUGGGCGUAAAGAGCUCGUAGGUGGCUUGUCGCGUCGUCUGUGAAAGUCUGGGGCUUAACUCCGGGUGUGCAGGCGAUACGGGCUGGCUUGAGUGCUGUAGGGGAGACUGGAAUUCCUGGUGUAGCGGUGGAAUGCGCAGAUAUCAGGAGGAACACCGAUGGCGAAGGCAGGUCUCUGGGCAGUCACUGACGCUGAGGAGCGAGAGCAUGGGUAGCGAACAGGAUUAGAUACCCUGGUAGUCCAUGCUGUAAAACGGUGGGCGCUAGGUGUGGGGACUUUCCAUGGUUUCCGUGUCGUAGCUAACGCGUUAAGCGCCCCGCCUGGGGAGUACGGCCGCAAGGCUAAAAACUCAAAAGGAAUUGACGGGGUCAUAGCUGUUUCCU